rnacentral:lncRNA from 1 species
GUCCAGUUUAUUCUAUUUGACUGAUUUUCUCACACAUUGAAAUUGGCUGUAAAACGAGGGCUUUAUAGCAGUAAAAUUCCACCUUUAGUGCCUUAAAUAUGCUUAAUUCGUACCAACAAUCAAAUAUAAGAUUUCUGUAAUAGAGUCGGCCAUUUUAUUUUUUUCUGACAUUAGCAUGUUUACGUUUAUUGGGUAAUUUAUCACUCAUCAAGUACGUAUUCCAGUGGUGAUUUCUUAUACCAUAUUCAGAGAUUGACAUCGACAGUAA